rnacentral:sRNA from 1 species
GGUUCGAUUUUUUUUUUUUGGUUUU